UACGGAGGGUGCAAGCGUUAUUCGGAAUUACUGGGCGUAAAGCGCACGUAGGUGGUUUGUUAAGCUAGCUGUGAAAUCCCCGGGCUCAACCUGGGCACUGCAGUUAGAACUGGCAAGCUAGAGUAGGGUAGAGGGGUGUGGAAUUCCAGGUGUAGCGGUGAAAUGCGUAGAUAUCUGGAGGAACAUCAGUGGCGAAGGCGACACCCUGGGCUCAUACUGACACUGAGGUGCGAAAGCGUGGGGAGCAAACAGG
rnacentral:rRNA from 1 species